UCUAAUAAGGUGGUGGAGAAAAUGGCGAGGAAGAGGAAAAUGAAAAUAUAUAGUCAACAUCGUUUGAUCACUUUGGUAACUCUAAUCAAGAAUGAAUGCAAGAGAUAUUAUGCAUGAAAUGACAGAACCAGUAACUCCCGUGGUUGGCUCUACGAGCAAUGUUGCUACUUUCAGUCGUUCUGUGCCACUACCGGCUCCGGCGGAAAAGCCCAAAAAAAUUUUCGAGAUUGAUUUCAAACUUGGCAACAGAAGAUGUUCUUCUAUUUGACUAUUUUGAGUCUACAUAAGUUUAUUGUGAUGACCUGAUAGGUCAUCUUGUAUUUUUGAACCUAAUUAUAUGUUUCGAGGUCUCAAAAAUCUCAUUUUAGCCUUUAUCAAUUUGCGUG